UUAAGCAUAUCAAUAAGCGGAGGAAAAGAAACUAACAAGGAUUCCCCUAGUAACUGCGAGUGAAGCGGGAAAAGCUCAAAUUUAAAAUCUGGUGGUCUUUGAUCAUCCGAGUUGUAAUCUAGAGAAGUGUUACCCGCGUUGGACCGUGUACAAGUCUCCUGGAAUGGAGCGUCAUAGAGGGUGAGAAUCCCGUCUUUGACACGGACUACCAAGGCUUUGUGGUGCGCUCUCAACGAGUCGAGUUGUUUGGGAAUGCAGCUCAAAAUGGGUGGUAAAUUCCAUCUAAAGCUAAAUACAGGCGAGAGACCGAUAGCGAACAAGUACCGUGAGGGAAAGAUGAAAAGAACUUUGGAAAGAGAGUUAAACAGUACGUGAAAUUGCUGAAAGGGAAACGCUGGAAGUCAGUCGCGUUGGCUAGGAAUCAACCUUACUCUUUUGUAGGGCUUACUUCUUAGUUGACGGGCCAACAUCAAUUUUGAUUGCUGGAAAAAGGCUUAGGGAAUGUGGCACCUUCGGGUGUGUUAUAGCCCUAGGUUGUAUUACAGUGUUGGGAUUGAGGAACGCAGCACGCCGUAAGGUUGGGUCUCUGAUCACACU
rnacentral:rRNA from 1 species